AUGCAAGAACGGGCCAUGAUGGGCCAGCACAAGGUUGCCCCGUCUUUUGCCUUCCCCUUCCUGCGCCCCAUUAAUCCCUCCGCCGGCAUCACUCAUCUCUUCCUCUUCCGAUUCCACCACAUCCCCGCCGACGUCGAGCGAGACCCCUCUCCUUCCACCGCUGCGUGGUGCCAUAGCGCCCCUCCUCUGCGGGUUCGAUGAAGCGCCGGCAGCUCCGCGAUGCGGAGGGCCGGUUCUGCCGCAGUGGUGGCGGCGACUGCGAAGCUGGCGGUAACUCCAAGGUGAGCCGUGCCGGCGAACGGGACGGCUCCUCCGUUGUGAGCCAUAAAGGCAAGCGUCGUGUUACUAAGGAUCCGAAGAAGUGUCGGCGCAAACCCUAGGAAGAUGCGAGGCCGUGACAACGGUAAAUUUUUUUCCUCAUUGUUUUCCCUCGAUUGAAUGGGUGCUGACCUAGAUUACCCAGUAUGGAAGUUUAUAUUAAUGUGAUGAGGUGCUGCUGUCUAUGAAAGCGAUUUUAGUUUGCAAAUCAAUAUGUGAACCUCGUAAUUCAUUGGACAGCUUGUGAGAAGAAUUUUCUACUCCAAUAGGAUAAUAUAUGGAUGAAUUUUCUGUGGAGCAAAUAAGAAUACCAGAAUAUUGGUUUUAGUUGGAACUAUUGGUUUAUCUUCUAAAACUGCAGCUGUUUGCAUCACAUGGAGUUUGCAUUACUUCCAGCUCAUUCAGUCCAAUGUCUGCAGGAAAGGUCAUAAUUACAUCUUUAAGAACUUGAAAUCAUAGUAUAUCAAACUAAUCGUGCAUGUUAUAGAUCUGCACCGAAAAGAAGAAUGUGUGGAUCAAUUUGGACUCAUCCUCAUCUGAUGAGGCAGGUGAAUACAUCGGCAAAAACCUCCACAAGGGAAAGAACCCCCAAACCACAGAACCGGGGACCUCUCAGAAGAAAAAGUUGUGAAAGGAAAAUACAAGAUAUUGGCUGACAGGGUUGAAAACCUAAAAUACUCUGUUGAUGGAUUUCGUGAAGCCGUUGAAGAGCUGCAGUUGAACAUUGAUAUUUUGGAGGCGAAGGUGGACGAAAUGUGUGAGGAAGAGUAUUAUACCCUCGAGCUGCAGAUAAAGGACCUUCGUGAGAAGCUCAAUGCUGGCCCGAAGCAGCUGCCUGGUGCUAAGAAGAAAUGAAGUGCAGUGACAAGCUCAAUGCCGCCCUGAAGCAGCUCCCUGGUGCUAAAGGAGAAAUGAAGUGUAGUUAGGGUGUAGCUAUCUCUAUAUUUAUAAUAACAUGUGGUUAGUUCUGGAAUGUUGUUAGUUGUAAUGACCUGUGGUUAGUUGUGGACAUAUAUACCUAGUUAUGGUGUAUCUAUCUCUAUAUAUGUGUGUAUGGUCAGUUAUCUAUCUCUAUGUAUGAACCGACUCUAGAAUAAUACUAGAAAUUCCAGUGUGCCUUUGGUGCUUCAUUUUUGUAU